rnacentral:rRNA from 1 species
GAGCCAACGGUGGAUGCCUUGGCGUCUACUACCGAUGAAGGACGUGUCCGGCUGCGAAAAGCCACGGUCAGCUGCCUAGAAAGCGUUACGAACCGUGGAUGUCCGAAUGGGGAAACCCGGCGCCUUUGCGGGCGUCACUCCGGUGUGAACACAUAGCAGCGGUAGAGGGAACCGGGGGAAUUGAAACAUCUCAGUACCCCCGAGGAAAAGAAAGCAACAGCGACUCCCUGAGUAGCGGCGAGCGAAACGGGAUCAGCCCAAACCUUACUGGUGUCAUAGCCUGGUGGCGUUGCCAGUAGGGGGUUGUGGGAUUCGAGGGAAGGCGCACCAGAGCCUUCACGAAGUUACAAAACUGCUGCGUAGUGGAAGUGUUUUGGAAAAGCACGCCACAGUGGGUAACAGCCCCGUACACGAAACGUACGCAGUCUUCGCUCGAGUGUCCCAAGUAACGCC